rnacentral:rRNA from 1 species
UACGGGGGGAGCAAGCGUUGUUCGGAUUUACUGGGCGUAAAGAGCUCGUAGGCGGUCUGUCGCGUCGGAUGUGAAAAUCCAGGGCUCAACCCUGGACCUGCAUUCGAUACGGGCAGACUAGAGUUCGGUAGGGGAGACUGGAAUUCCUGGUGUAGCGGUGAAAUGCGCAGAUAUCAGGAGGAACACCAAUGGCGAAGGCAGCUCGCUGGGACGUUACUGACGCUGAGACGCGAAAGCGUGGGGAGCAAACAGG